rnacentral:rRNA from 1 species
ACAUCCAGAGAAUUUAGCAGAGAUGCUUUAGUGCCUUCGGGAACUCUGAGACAGGUGCUGCAUGGCUGUCGUCAGCUCGUGUUGUGAAAUGUUGGGUUAAGUCCCGNAACGAGCGCAACCCUUAUCCUUUGUUGCCAGCACGUAAUGGUGGGAACUCAAAGGAGACUGCCGGUGAUAAACCGGAGGAAGGUGGGGAUGACGUCAAGUCAUCAUGGCCCUUACGAGUAGGGCUACACACGUGCUACAAUGGCGCAUACAAAGAGAAGCGACCUCGCGAGAGCAAGCGGACCUCAUAAAGUGCGUCGUAGUCCGGAUUGGAGUCUGCAACUCGACUCCAUGAAGUCGGAAUCGCUAGUAAUCGUAAAUCAGAAUGUUACGGUGAAUACGUUCCCGGGCCUUGUAUACACCGCCCGUCACACCAUGGGAGUGGGUUGCAAAAGAAGUAGAUAGCUUAACCUUCGGGAGGGCGUUUACCACUUUGUGAUUCAUGACUGGGGUGAAGUCGUAACAAGGUAGGCGUAGUGCU